GAAUUCUCAAGGCAGCGUGAGAGCAAAGCACCUGACGGGGAGAACGGAGGACACCGAGGACAGCCUCAGACAUGUACCUCGGGUGGCCGGGGCCGGCCCUCAUGGUGCCCGUCCACACAGAGCAAGCCUCAGGAGGCAAGCGAUGGAAUGCUGUGGUUGAGCUCCGCUGGCUUUGAUGCUUGUCUCCAUGAAAGCGUGCGCACUUCUGUUUUCAGUUCGGGGCUGAAACAAACACUGCAGGGAUGAGUGCUGCUGUGCUGACCCCUGCGGCAUGGGUCCACGCGGCUCUGUUGGGAACACGCUUGCUGG